UACGGAGGGUGCAAGCGUUAAUCGGAAUUACUGGGCGUAAAGCGCACGCAGGUGGCUGAGUCAGUCGAUUGUGAAAGCCCUGGGCUUAACCUGGGAAUUGCAGUCGAUACUACUCAGCUAGAGUAUGGGGAGAGGGUAGUGGAAUUCCCGGUGUAGCGGUGAAGUGCGUAGAUAUCGGGAGGAACAUCAGUGGCGAAGGCGGCUACCUGGCCCAAUACUGACACUCAGGUGCGACAGCGUGGGGAGCAAACAGG
rnacentral:rRNA from 1 species